rnacentral:misc_RNA from 1 species
GCAUGAUCCACUCAUCAUGAGUCGCCGCCAUAGCUCCAUCAAGCCAUUGCUGGGAAACUUAACGGAGUACCAAGAGAAAAAUAGAGCUCUAUAGAUCGAAACCAAUUAGAAAGACUAAACAAAUGUCCUCAAUGAUAAACAAAGGCAAACAAGAAUUCAAAACUAAUUGCAACAUUGAUUCAUGGAUGGGCAAAGGGCAUGAAGACAGAGAGUAAGAGGCUGUGGAAUCUAAAAGAAACAACCUGCAUCGUUUCUACCUUGAGGGUAACAAUUUUCCAUUCGAUAAGCAUCUCACUCACGCUAUACCCUCCUAA